GCUGACAUAGAGGACAGCUACAUGUAGUCUGAAAAACCUUUGUUGUCAAGUUUGCAGGUAUAUCAGCACGAGACAUUCUUACAUAGAAGAGACGUUAAAGUCUCUGACUCAGUGAAGCAUUAUUGGUCCCGUCUGUUUGGAUAAAUAUAGAGGCGCUGGAAGGUUUCCCUAAUAGUUCCUGGUGAAUCAAAGCAGAACCAUAAAGGUUGCUGGACUGCAUGAUGGCCUUACCCCUGAGCAGUCAUCCUGUUAAAGGAGGAACCAGUUAGAAGCUGUUUUCAAAGUAGCUGAGCAGAUUUCAUCUCAAACAAAGCCGAUUGCAGAAGAUUUCGGAGAAGAACUUCAGGCCGUGUACUGAAAAGGUAUUUUUUUCUUGUUAUCAAAAG
ensembl:lncRNA